GGAGAGAUGACUGAGUGGCCGAAAGUACUUCAUUGCUAAUGAAGCGUACGAGUAAUCGUACCAGGGGUUCGAAUCCCCUUCUCUCCG
rnacentral:tRNA from 2 species